AAAUCAGCCCUUUUCAGGGCUAACAAAUAUUUUUUAAAACGUUAAU
rfam:Nasonia vitripennis strain AsymCX Ctg11172, whole genome shotgun sequence.